rnacentral:rRNA from 1 species
UACGUAGGGUGCGAGCGUUAAUCGGAAUUACUGGGCGUAAAGUGUGCGCAGGCGGCCGAGCAAGUCGAGUGUGAAAGCCCCGAGCUCAACUUGGGAACUGCGCUCGAAACUACUUGGCUAGAGUGUGGCAGAGGGAGGUGGAAUUCCACGUGUAGCGGUGAAAUGCGUAGAGAUGUGGAGGAACACCGAUGGCGAAGGCAGCCUCCUGGGCCAACACUGACGCUCAUGCACGAAAGCGUGGGGAGCAAACAGG